rnacentral:rRNA from 1 species
UGGGGAAUUUUGGACAAUGGGGGAAACCCUGAUCCAGCCAUCCCGCGUGUGCGAUGAAGGCCUUCGGGUUGUAAAGCACUUUUGGCAGGAAAGAAACGUCAUGGGUUAAUACCCCGUGAAACUGACGGUACCUGCAGAAUAAGCACCGGCUAACUACGUGCCAGCAGCCGCGGUAAUACGUAGGGUGCAAGCGUUAAUCGGAAUUACUGGGCGUAAAGCGUGCGCAGGCGGUUCGGAAAGAAAGAUGUGAAAUCCCAGAGCUCAACUUUGGAACUUCAUUUUUAACUUCCGGGCUAGGGGGUGUCAGAGGGAGGUUGAAUUCCGCGUUUAGCAGUGAAAUGCGUAGAUAUGCGGAGGAACACCGAUGGCGAAGGCAGCCUCCUGGGAUAACACUGACGCUCAUGCACGAAAGCGUGGGGAGCAAACAGG